GAACUUUCCAGAGAUGGAUUGGUGCCUUCGGGAACUGUGAGACAGGUGCUGCAUGGCUGUCGUCAGCUCGUGUUGUGAAAUGUUGGGUUAAGUCCCGCAACGAGCGCAACCCUUAUCCUUUGUUGCCAGCGGUUCGGCCGGGAACUCAAAGGAGACUGCCAGUGAUAAACUGGAGGAAGGUGGGGAUGACGUCAAGUCAUCAUGGCCCUUACGACCAGGGCUACACACGUGCUACAAUGGCGCAUACAAAGAGAAGCGACCUCGCGAGAGCAAGCGGACCUCAUAAAGUGCGUCGUAGUCCGGAUUGGAGUCUGCAACUCGACUCCAUGAAGUCGGAAUCGCUAGUAAUCGUGGAUCAGAAUGCCACGGUGAAUACGUUCCCGGGCCUUGUACACACCGCCCGUCACACCAUGGGAGUGGGUUGCAAAAGAAGUAGGUAGCUUAACCUUCGGGAGGGCGCUUACCACUUUGUGAUUCAUGACUGGGGUGAAGUCGUAACAAGGUAACCGUAGGGGAACCUGCGGUUGGAUCACCUCCUUA
rnacentral:rRNA from 1 species